CCCAUUGUUUGGUGUAGCAGUAAUAUUAGGAUCCCAUUGUUUGGUGUAGCAGUAAUGUUAGAAUCCCCAUUGUUUGGUGUAGCAGUAAUAUUAGAAUCCCCAUUGUUUGGUGUAGCAGUAAUAUUAGGAUCCCCAUUGUUUGGUGUAGCAGUAAUAUUAGGAUCCCAUUGUUUGGUGUAGCAGUAAUAUUAGGAUCCCCAUUGUUUGGUGUAGCAGUAAUAUUAGGAUCCCCAUUGUUUGGUGUAGCAGUAAUAUUAGAAUCCCCAUUGUUUGGUGUAGCAGUAAUAUUAGAAUCCCCAUUUUUUGGUGUAGCAGUAAUGUUAGGAUCCCCAUUGUUUGGUGUAGCAGUAAUGUUAGGCUUUGUCUUCACCUGCUGAAACUGUGUGAACAAAACUCGUUAAAUUUUAUUUUAUUUAUUUGAUUAUUUAAAAACACAAUUCCACCACACAUGUAGAUGCAACGUAUUUUAAAUGAUCAAGGAUAACAGUUUUUCUUUUCUAUUUCCAUUGUGGUCCUCUUGUUUUGCCCGGUAGCAAGGGACUUUGAACCACUUUGCAGAAUGUGAAUGUGCAGCUAUACCUCUUGGCUGUGGGUGAGAGGAGGAGGGGGAGAAGAGGAAGUGGAGAGGAGGAGGUGGAAAGGGGUGGUGACAAGCCAACAGAGCCCAAAGGUCACAUUUCGAACCAAACCCCGAACACCACGACCACCACCAGUAUUCUCAUACACCCCCACACAGUGACAUCACAGUCUAGAAUCCUGCCUUACAUUUGGGAUCCCAACAAGACCGAAAUGCAUGGCCAGCAGCUACAGUCUGCACCAUAGAGGAUACAGUCCUGUUAAACCCAGGGACAUCACCCAGAACACAUCACCAACACACACACACCUACCUAUCUAACCUCUCUCUCUCUCUCUCUCUCGCCCUCCCCGUCCCUUUCACACACAUAUACAUAAACAGUGACAUCAGAAAUCACUUUCAAGAUUCACACCUUUUAUCAAAUACUCAACAACCCCAAAAAAUGUCUCUUUCUGCACACCCCGCCCUGUGCAACUGGGUCCGACCCCAGGUGGUGAAGGUAGACAACAACACUUACAUUAUGCUGACCCUCAACACAGGGGCCCCACAAGGGUGUGUGCUCAGCCCCUCCUGUACUCCCUGUUCACCCAUGACUGCGUGGCUUCGCACGCCUCCAACUCAAUCAUCAAGUUUGCAGACGAGACAGCAGUAGUAGGCCUGAUUACCAACAACGACGAGACGGCCUACAGGGAGGAGGUGAGGGCACCGGCGGAGUGGUGACAGGAAAAUAACCUCUCCCUCAACGUCAACACAAUGAAGGAACUGAUCGUGGACUUCAGGAGACAGCAGAGAAAACACGCCCCCAUCCACAUCGAUGGUGGAGAAGGUGGAAAGCUUCAAGUUCCUCGGGUGUUUGAUUUUAUCGGUACAAAAUCUUUAAUGCUCUUGUGGUGUGAGAUGUGUAACGACACGUUUUGAGAACAGCAAUCAGCAACAGCCAAUGAGAUGAUGACGUUGUUUCACAUCAACCAGAAUGUUUAGACUAGAGCAGACUAAUGACUACUACUAGUAUGAAUAUAUAGACUAGAGCAGGACUAAUGACUACUACUGGUAUGAAUAUAUAGACUAGAGCAGGACUAAUGACUACUACUAGUAUGAAUAUAUAGACUAGAGCAGUACUAAUGACUACUACUAGUAUGAAUAUAUAGACUAGAGCAGGACUAAUGACUACUACUAGUAUGAAUAUAUAGACUAGAGCAGGACUAAUGACUACUACUGGUAUGAAUAUAUAGACUAGAGCAGGACUAAUGACUACUACUGGUAUGAAUAUAUAGACUAGAGCAGGACUAAUGACUACUACUAGUAUGAAUAUAUAGACUAGAGCAGGACUAAUGACUACUACUGGUAUGAAUAUAUAGACUAGAGCAGGACUAAUGACUACUACUAGUAUGAAUAUAUAGACUAGAGCAGGACUAAUGACUACUACUGGUAUGAAUAUAUAGACUAGAGCAGACUAAUGACUACUAGUAUGAAUAUAUAGACUAGAGCAGACUAAUGACUACUACUAGUAUGAAUAUAUAGACUAGAGCAGACUAAUGACUACUAGUAUGAAUAUAUAGACUAGAGCAGGACUAAUGACUACUACUAGUAUGAAUAUAUAGACUAGAGCAGUACUAAUGACUACUACUAGUAUGAAUAUAUAGACUAGAGCAGGACUAAUGACUACUACUAGUAUGAAUAUAUAGACUAGAGCAGGACUAAUGACUACUACUAGUAUGAAUAUAUAGACUAGAGCAGUACUAAUGACUACUACUAGUAUGAAUAUAUAGACUAGAGCAGGACUAAUGACUACUACUAGUAUGAAUAUAUAGACUAGAGCAGGACUAAUGACUACUACUAGUAUGAAUAUAUAGACUAGAGCAGGACCAAUGACUACUACUGGUAUGCGUUUGUACUUUCCUUUAACCAAAGCUAAAUCCUUACAGCUCUGAAGUUCUUUCUGAUAUGUCUUAAUUCCUUUCUUUUUAUUUUGGGGAUUUUUGUGUAUUGUUUUGUAUUGUUCGGUAUUAUUGGACUGUUGGAGCUAGAAACACACACAUUUAGUUCGGUAUUAUUGGACUGUUGGAGCUAGAAACAAGCAUUUAGUUAGGUAUUACUGCACUGUUGGAGCUAGAAACACAAACAUUUAGCUAGGUAUUACUGCACUGUUGGAGCUAGAAACACAAACAUUUAGCUAGGUAUUACUGCACUGUUGGAGCUAGAAACACCAGCAUUUAAUUAGGUAUUACUGCACUGUUGGAGCUAGAAACACCAGCAUUUAAUUAGGUAUUACUGCACUGUUGGAGCUAGAAACACCAGCAUUUAAUUAGGUAUUACUGCACUGUUGGAGCUAGAAACACCAGCAUUUAAUUAGGUAUUACUGCACUGUUGGAGCUAGAAACACCAGCAUUUAAUUAGGUAUUACUGCACUGUUGGAGCUAGAAACACCAGCAUUUAAUUAGGUAUUACUGCACUGAUGGAGCUAGAAACACCAGCAUUUAAUUAGGUAUUACUGCACUGUUGGAGCUAGAAACACAAACAUUUAGCUAGGUAUUACUGCACUGUUGGAGCUAGAAACACAAACAUUUAGCUAGGUAUUACUGCACUGUUGGAGCUAGAAACACAAACAUUUAGCUAGAUAUUACUGCACUGUUGGAGCUAGAAACACAAACAUUUAGCUAGGUAUUACUGCACUGUUGGAGCUAGAAACACACACAUUUAGCUAGGUAUUACUGCACUGUUGGAGCUAGAAACACAAACAUUUAGCUAGGUAUUACUGCACUGUUGGAGCUAGAAACACAAACAUUUAGCUAGGUAUUACUGCACUGUUGGAGCUAGAAACACAAACAUUUAGCUAGGUAUUACUGCACUGUUGGAGCUAGAAACACACACAUUUAGCUAGGUAUUACUGCACUGUUGGAGCUAGAAACACCAGCAUUUAAUUAGGUAUUACUGCACUGAUGGAGCUAGAAACACCAGCAUUUAAUUAGGUAUUACUGCACUGUUGGAGCUAGAAACACAAACAUUUAGCUAGGUAUUACUGCACUGUUGGAGCUAGAAACACAAACAUUUAGCUAGAUAUUACUGCACUGUUGGAGCUAGAAACACAAACAUUUAGCUAGGUAUUACUGCACUGUUGGAGCUAGAAACACAAACAUUUAGCUAGGUAUUACUGCACUGUUGGAGCUAGAAACACAAACAUUUAGCUAGGUAUUACUGCACUGUUGGAGCUAGAAACACACACAUUUAGCUAGGUAUUACUGCACUGUUGGAGCUAGAAACACCAGCAUUUAGUUAGGUAUUAUUGGACUGUUGGAGCUAGAAACACAAACAUUUAGCUAGGUAUUACUGCACUGUUGGAGCUAGAAACACAAACAUUUAGCUAGAUAUUACUGCACUGUUGGAGCUAGAAACACAAACAUUUAGCUAGAUAUUACUGCACUGUUGGAGCUAGAAACACAAACAUUUAGCUAGGUAUUACUGCACUGUUGGAGCUAGAAACAAACGUUUAUUUAGAUAUUACAGCACUGUUGGAGCUAGAAACACAAACAUUUAGCUAGAUAUUACUGCACUGUUGGAGCUAGGAACACACACAUUUAGCUAGGUAUUACUGCACUGUUGGAGCUAGAAACACAAACAUUUAGCUAGGUAUUACUGCACUGUUGGAGCUAGAAACAAACACAUUUAGCUAGGUAUUACUGCACUGUUGGAGCUAGAAACACAAACAUCCUGCUGCACCUGCAAUAACAUCUGCUAAUAUGUGUACGUGACCAAUAAAAUGUUAUUUGAUUUUGACAUUAAACGGCACCUGCUAAAACCA